rnacentral:rRNA from 1 species
GGUUGAUCCUGCCAGUAGUCAUAUGCUUGUCUCAAAGAUUAAGCCAUGCAUGUCUAAGUAUAAGCAAUUUAUACAGUGAAACUGCGAAUGGCUCAUUAAAUCAGUUAUCGUUUAUUUGAUAGUUCCUUUACUACAUGGAAUACCUGUGGUAAUUCUAGAGCUAAUACAUGCUUAAAAUCCCGACUGUUAUGGAAGGGAUGUAUUUAUUAGAUAAAAAAUCAAUGUCUUCGGACUCUUUGAUGAUUCAUAAUAACUUUUCGAAUC